CGUCUAUAUACGUAUAGCAUAUCAAUAAGCGGAGGAAAAGAAACUAACAAGGAUUCCCUUAGUAACGGCGAGCGAAGCGGGAAGAGCUCAAAUUUGAAAUCUUCAAGGUUCUACCUUGACGAAUUGUAGUUUAUAAGAAGUGUUUUCUGUUAGUAGAGUGGCAAAAGUUCUUUGGAAUAGGACAUCAUAGAGGGUGAGAAUCCCGUAUUUGGUCAUUCCUUUCUAGCUUUGUGAUACACUUUCAACGAGUCGGAUUGUUUGGGAAUGCAGUCCAAAAUGGGUGGUAAAUUUCAUCUAAAGCUAAAUAUUGGCGAGAGACCGAUAGCGAACAAGUACCGUGAGGGAAAGAUGAAAAGAACUUUGAAAAGAGAGUUAAACAGUACGUGAAAUUGUCAAAAGGGAAGCGUUUGACACCAGUGUUGUUUUUCCGAAAAUCAAUUACGAAUGUUUUGUUUUUGAGGAGUUAUGACUUCAUCGGCUUGCUCCUUUCUUAUGAAACUUUCUUAAUGCACUUUUCGGUUAACAAGUCAACAUCAAUUUCUUUUGUUGUAAAAGGGUAUGAGGAAGGUGGCUUUCUUUUCGGAGAAAGUGUUUAUAGCCUUGUGCCUCUGCAAUCGGAGAGAUUGAGGUCUGCAGCGUAGAUCCUUCGGGGUUAGAUACGUUUGUGCUAAGUUAUAGCUUUUCAUAGACAACUUGUUGACUAUGUUUAGUCUUGUAGCUUACUCGCUUAUGCUAUUUUACCUACGCUUAGGAUGUUGAUAUGCAUGACUGAUAU
rnacentral:rRNA from 1 species